rnacentral:rRNA from 1 species
AUUGAACGCUGGCGGCAUGCCUUACACAUGCAAGUCGAACGGCAGCAUGAUCUAGCUUGCUAGAUUGAUGGCGAGUGGCGAACGGGUGAGUAAUACAUCGGAACGUGCCCUGUAGUGGGGGAUAACUAGUCGAAAGAUUAGCUAAUACCGCAUACGACCUGAGGGUGAAAGUGGGGGACCGCAAGGCCUCAUGCUAUAGGAGCGGCCGAUGUCUGAUUAGCUAGUUGGUGAGGUAAAGGCUCACCAAGGCGACGAUCAGUAGCUGGUCUGAGAGGACGAUCAGCCACACUGGGACUGAGACACGGCGCAGACUCCUACGGGAGGCAGCAGUGGGGAAUUUUGGACAAUGGGCGAAAGCCUGAUCCAGCAAUGCCGCGUGUGUGAAGAAGGCCUUCGGGUUGUAAAGCACUUUUGUCCGGAAAGAAAUGGCUCUGGUUAAUACCUGGGGUCGAUGACGGUACCGGAAGAAUAAGGACCGGCUAACUACGUG